rnacentral:rRNA from 1 species
AGCGUAGACGGCUGUGCAAGUCUGAAGUGAAAGGCAUGGGCUCAACCUGUGGACUGCUUUGGAAACUGUGCAGCUAGAGUGUCGGAGAGGUAAGUGGAAUUCCUAGUGUAGCGGUGAAAUGCGUAGAUAUUAGGAGGAACACCAGUGGCGAAGGCGGCUUACUGGACGGUAACUGACGUUGAGGCUCGAAAGCGUGGGAGCAAACA